CCCCCCUCUCUCUCUCUUAUCUUUGUUUUUGGGAAUAAAACCUAAAAUCACAAAUCUAACCUCUCUCUCUCUCUCUCCACCGAUCCGCAACUCUCCGUCGCCGCCGUUCCCCUCCGUCAGUCGCCGCCGUUAGUCGCCGUGUUCUCGUAUUACUACUUCCGCUCUCAGAAUUCUCACUGAAAGGCGCCGCACUUCGAAUCUAGGAUUCUCUCGCGGCAUGAUCUCUUUGCAUCUAUAUUUUCAUCACAGACUAUACGGUUAAAUAAAAUUAAUGGAGCUGAUUAAAGAUGCAUUUGAUCGUGUUACAAAGAAACAAAAGCUAUCAUGCUCCAAAACUCAAGAAGUUCUUGAUCUGAUUGACCAAGAAAUCAAGCAGACGUUACAGAAAAUACAAUCAUCUAAUGAGUGUGAAUCUCAGGUUGAUUUGAAAUCUACCAUUGCUGAACUCAAAAACAAGUUAAAAGACAUUGCACCACUCAGUCAGACAGAAAGCACCCAGAAGGAACUGAAUCUGGCAUUGAGCAAGUAUCCAAA
rnacentral:lncRNA from 1 species